rnacentral:rRNA from 1 species
GCUCACACAUGCAAGUCGACUGGAAUUCACCUUCGGGUGAUAGUACGGUGGCGGACGGGUGAGUAACGCGUAAAGAACUUGCCCUUCAGACCGGGACAACUGUUGGAAACGACAGCUAAUACCGGAUAUUAUGGGAACCUCGCAUGGGGGACCUAUGAAAGCUAUAUGCGCUGGAGGAGAGCUUUGCGUGCCAUUAGGUAGUUGGUAGGGUAAUGGCCUACCAAGCCGACGAUGGCUAGCCGGCCUGAGAGGGUGAUCGGCCACAAGGGGACUGAGACACGGCCCUUACUCCUACGGGAGGCAGCAGUGGGGAAUAUUAGACAAUGGACCAAAAGUCUGAUCCAGCAAUUCUGUGUGCACGAUGAAGGUUUUCGGAUCGUAAAGUGCUUUCAGUAGGGAAGAAAAAAAUGACGGUACCUACAGAAGAAGCGACGGCUAAAUACGUGCCAGCAGCCGCGGUAAUACGUAUGUCGCAAGCGUUAUCCGGAAUUAUUGGGCGUAAAGCGCGUCUAGGCGGCCUUUUAAGUCUGAUGUGAAAAUGCGGGGCUCAACUCCGUAUUGCGUUGGAAACUGGAAGGCUAGAGUAUCAGAGAGGUGGGCGGAACUACAAGUGUAGAGGUGAAAUUCGUAGAUAUUUGUAGGAAUGCCGAUUGGGAAGCCAGCUCACUGGAUGAAUACUGACGCUGAAGCGCGAAAGCGUGGGGAGCAAACGGGAUUAGAUACCCCGGUAGUCCACGCCGUAAACGAUGAUCACUAAGUGUGGGGGGUCGAACCUCCGUGCUCAAGCUAACGCGAUAAGUGAUCCGCCUGGGGAGUACGCACGCAAGUGUGAAACUCAAAGGAAUUGACGGGGACCCGCACAAGCGGUGGAGCAUGUGGUUUAAUUCGACGCAACGCGAGGAACCUUACCAGCCCUUGACAUCCUCAGAACUUAGCAGAGAUGCUUUGGUGCCACUUCGUGGAACUGAGUGACAGGUGGUGCAUGGCUGUCGUCAGCUCGUGUCGUGAGAUGUUGGGUUAAGUCCCGCAACGAG